UCUUGCCUCUGUCUGUCAGGCUGUCCUGCAGACACCACUUCUCUUUUAAGAAUGUAGGGUUUUUUCCUCCCUCAUUGGGAUAACGGAUUCUCUAUUUUAUCUAUACCGUUGCUGUCACUUAAUGAACUCCUUGGAAAAUCUUGACUCCAGAGAGCACCAGUUGCCCAGAGCAGUUAUUUUCAGGCCUUUUACCAUUUUCAUUCAUGAAUCUUCUUAUUCAGAUCAUUGCAAGGUAGCCUAACAGAAAAUGUGGAUGCUUAUUGUGACCCUGACCUAACAGGGUUUUUCCUGUCCUUGCUUCUAGGAUGCAUAAGAUAGGAAGAAAAAGGGCAUAUUUAAUCUUUCCUCUUCAUCUGUAAAGGAAAACAUCAUGCAAAAGCAGUUACUAAGAGGUGAUUGCCUUUUCUGGGUAAUCAGUGACUUUGGAUGAAAUGACUUUGACAGACAGAAUAAGUAUGCUUUUUCUUUCAGGUGGCUGCAUAGUGACAUGGCAGUGCUUGUUUAAACCCAAAAUAUCAGUUUGUAUCCAUCUGACAUUGUAUGGGUGUAGGGCCAGAUUCUCCUGCCACAUUUAAGAAACUUACAUGCCAAAGAGACUCUUAAGAAGUUUCCCAUGUCCAUUUUCCCCUUUCCUAGUAAAUUGUGAAUACUUCCAAAACUAACCACUGGAGGUGUAUGCCUCAUGGAAAAUUCUUUACAACAAGAAGUAAACUCUUCAGUAGUACAAAUAGGGUUAAUUUUCAGAUGUAUUCCUUGCACUCUUGCUAGUCUGAGUUAGGUUCUGGCUUUUCAGCACUCCUUCCAACACAGUGGUGGAGGUAUGCUGUCUGUCUGUUUGUUUUUAAAUAGAGGUAGGCUUCCUUAAUCUUUGAUAUUUUUGGAUGAGUACUGGUCCUCAGUUGUGAUUAUUGGGUUAGGAGGUCUUUGUUUUUUGGGUACCUUACAGAAAUAUCCAUGUUAGAAUAUACAAAUUUUGUCUUUGCUCACCUUUAUAACAUAGUCAUGUAACCAACUAAAGGAGUUUCUCCACAUCUUCUCUUCAGACCCUUUUUGCUUAAUACACUACAACAUGGCUGUCAUGAUCAGGCUCUCUUUACAGCACCCUGACCAAUGGCACUGGGAAGUGCAGUUCUGAUCAUUUUCACUUGAUUAUGGAAUUCCUAAUCCCUUUGCUCACUUGAAGAAAUUUUAUUAUGCGGUUUUUGCAUGGAUUUAACUAAAAGAGUUUAGAAACCUAUUUAGUAAAAUAGGUGCAACUUCCUCAGUACACUCACUCUUAAAUUCGUUUGAAUGUCCAUGCAUAAAGUUGCACUGAUUUUUUUUAAAUUGGUUUAAAGCUACACCUUUAAUUUCUAUAAUAUGUACUUGUAUAUGACUUUUACAUAGUUCACUGUAGCUGAGAUGUCGUUGCCUCUGGAAGUCUGCAAAUUAAAAAAGUCGUCAAAAAACAGUAACUCAGUGUCAGUUUAUUGUAAAGCACAUACUAUGAUGUGUGGUGCCAUCUACUGUGCAUUAAACAAAGUUCGCUAUUUUAUAGAUGCUUUAAAGGGAACAGUGUUGUUGUUGGCCAGAACACAGAUUAUAGUGUAGGUUAAAAUAAAAAAUUGGAAUGUACAAUUUACAUUGAAGCUGCAAAUCUUGCAUUUUAUGGGGUUUGAUAUCACCUCAGUAAGCUGAAUGCCACUGAGUUUCAUAAACUAUUUCAUAUGUUAGUCUUUCAAAUUGUAUUCCAAAUAUCCAAUAAAUAUUAAAAAUAAGUUAACAAGAUUCUACAAAUUUUCACUUUUUUUAAUAUGCUACUACUUAAACUAUAGGUCUGUGUAAAUGGAUGUUUAAGCAGACAGGUAAUUUGAAUUUACUGUUUAAAGAUUAGCGGUUACAACCUUUGGUAAUCUAGUACUGUUCUGUCCCUCCCACCACCCCAAAAAAGUACCCAAAAAAUAAGCAGCAGUUAUAUCUUUAUGCAGCUAUGCACAGGUUUAGAUAUGCAGUACAUAUAUGGGUGAGUUCACAAAUCAAUUAAAUCCUCCUGCACACUUACCAAGAUUGGAGAUGGGGAGAGUGAGUGAAACUACCAACAAGGGGAGCAAAUUGAAGUCUGUCCAUGGCAGAGGUUUUCUGGUUUAGCAUCUCUGUGAGUAAAGUCAUUAAACACCUUGGCCAAAACUUGAUGAAACACCAGGUGUAACUUAAUCCAUAGCAAAGAUGUUCUGAGCGGUAUUAACAGGAAGUGAACCAUCACAGUCUCAAGGACAUUCUUAUUGAGUAAACUGAACCGAAAGGAAUACAUGAGUUCAUUUUAGUCGAACUAUGUAGGGAACCAAGUUAGAAAAAACAGUCUAAAUAUAAUUUUGUCUGGUUCAAUUUCUGUUUAUAGGAAAGGCAUUGGCCCUUAAGAGCUUUCCAAUAGAAUUCUCACUGGUUGAACAUGGUUUCUUCUGGCAUAUUCUUGGUGAAAAAUCAGAUCAGUGAAUGUUUGAACAAGAUCUGUUUUUUAUUUAAUGAAGUAGGCAUAAAAUUAUGCUCUUCUAGCUUGAGUGAUUUACCCAUUGCAAACUUGAAUUCAUUAAUUUUUUUUAUAACAAUUAGUACUCUAAUUUCUGAGUAACACAGUUGUAACAGUUCUGUAGUAGGGAUGGAAUCGUGUUGAGUGUGUGUAUAAACUGUUUGUUUGGGUGUAAUUUUUUAAAAUUUCCUACAUAUAUAAAAUAUAAUUCUAAUUCUUCACAUUGUACUAAGCACUUUGUGUUCCAAGUGUAAUGACUUCAAGCUCAGACAAAUUCAGUUAGUAGAAUGCUUAAAAAGCAGUAUGCAUUCUUGUACCAUAAUUCAAAAGUUUUGCUAGAUGCUGAUAAUUGUGUAACAAAAUAGAUUUACUGUAAAUGUAUAUUAAUAAAUAUUGCUACGGGAAAUGCAUGUAAGAUCAGCUAACCUUAAAUAUUUGAUCCUGUUAUGCAUUGCUAAAAUGAAAAAUUUCAGUUGAUCUUGUUAGUAUUUGUGUAAAAUCUAAUUACAAAAUUGCUAGACAGAGGACACAUUUGUAUGAACAAAAUAUUAUAUGGGUAUAUAGCCCUGUCCUAUCUCAAUGCAGCAGAAAAACUAAUCAUACUUGUUUUAGAUAGAUCACCAGAUCUGAACGUGUAGAUACCAUAUUUUUCUGAACUAUUAUUAACUGGCUGUACUACUUACAAAAUUUAAUGCAUUUCCUAUAAACUGUAAAAUCAAAAGUCUUGAGAAUCACUUUUUAUUUUUGCCAGAUCUAGGAGUGUGAAUCUUUAAUUGUUUUAAAGCAUUUUUUACUGUUGCUGUUUCACAUAUUUUGUUAACCUCAUAAUUUACCCAAUAAAAGUAGUCUUAAACUGUGA